GUAAGCAAGCAAUAAUAAAUAAAAAAAUUAGUACUUAAGAUAAUAUUAAUUUCUAAAUUCGAUUUUAUGUACCUAUCUUUUAGAUUGAUGCACAAUUAAUACAACAACCUGCAGUUGUAUUACAGUUGGACAAAUUAAUCGAAGAACAAGAAUAUUCAGUUGAUUAUCCUGAUGAUCACGAUAGAUCUGUUAGUUUGAAUAUUGAACAACCAGUUCCAUUUACAAAUGAAGAUGAUACAAUGGACAAUAUGGAUGUAGUGCCAAGAUCAGCAGUUGAUGUUUUUAUUCCUACAAUUGAAAAACAACACAUGUGAGAUCCAGUAAGUACCAAACAAAUAUACGAUAACUUGCUUACAUUAUGUUUUAAUUUAAGGAUUAUUUUCAUAGGUGAAACUAGACCUCUAAAACGUGGAGUGCUAAAGUAUUAAAAACAUAAGAUUGAUGGUAUUUAAUUAUAAUUAUGAUAGUUCUUAAAAAAAUAAUGGUUCUAAAUUAAAACUUAAGGAGAUUACUUUUAGGAAUAAUUCCUUAACUUUCUGUUAAUCCA